rnacentral:rRNA from 1 species
CAAUAGCGUAUAUUUAAGUUGUUGCAGUUAAAAAGCUCGUAGUCGGAUUUUGGCUGAGAACGAUCGGUCCGCCGUUAGGUGUGCACUGAUUGGUCUCAGCUUCCUGGUGAGGAGGUGUGCUUCACGGCCACUUAGUCACCGUGGUUACUUUGAAAAAAUUAGAGUGUUCAAAGCGGGCUUACGCUUGAAUAUAUUAGCAUGGAAUAACACCAUAGGACUCCUGUCCUAUUUCGCUGGUCACGGGACGGGAGUAAUGAUUAAGAGGAACAGUUGGGGGCAUUCGUAUUUCAUUGUCAGAGGUGAAAUUCUUGGAUUUAUGAAAGACGAACUUCUGCGAAAGCAUUUGCCAAGGAUGUUUUCAUUGA